GUCUGGGUGGCGUAAUUGGUAGCCGCGCGAGACUUAAAAUUUCGUGGUCGCAAGACCGUGCGGGUUCGAUCCCCGCCCCAGACA
rnacentral:tRNA from 2 species